GACUGUUGUGGAGCAAGCUGACUUGGGGAUUGCCGACGACGUGGUCUGUGCAAAUUUUAUUACAGCUGUGUCAGGCAUUUUGACAGCAGGUUUCACCUACAUUUAACACCGGGAGCACAAAAAACAAUCAUAUUUUCAAUUUCGACUCAAUGGUUACUCUGUACUCUGACUCUUUGUGCCUUUGGAAUACAACUUUUAAUAGCACGGCCUGCUGUGACUAAUUUCCUUUGAAAACCUGGCAUACCCUUGUAGCUUCACGGAUUACCUCUUCUAGAAAAAAAAGUGGAAACAACAACUAACCGGAACGGGAGCAGUUGCAGUCACGGAUGCCGCAGUCGACUUGGACUGCAUUUAGCGUAUGCAUAUUUAAUAUUUCCCAGGCAAGUUGCAACCAACAACAAAUACAACAACGGCUGAAAAAACUCCAGAAACUCUCCAGCCAAAGCCAAGGAACAGUAGCGAAAAAAGGGUUCCAAACUGGAGUACAAAAAACGGGGGGAACACAGCUCAUACUCGUAUAUCAUUUGACCCUGCUGGCAGUCACCCUCUCUAGUCCUCCCUCUUCGCGUAUCCUUUUUCCUGCUAACAAGAAGCAAACAACAGGAAACCAAAGCGGGAGAGGUGGCGGGCAGGAGCAGGAGCAGGAUCAGGAGCAGGAGCGGCUGGGGUGGGACGUGGGAGUGAAAAAAGUUUUGAAAUGAAAAAGCAGUCAGCAUAUGAAAUGAGUUUAUUACUCAAAAUGCUCCGCUGUGUGUGCGUGUGUGUGUGAAUGCGGCACGCUUUAAGUGGCAUGCAUGCACCAUGUGAUGAAGGGCGUGAGGCAAGGCGCGGGGCGUGGCCGGUGCCAAGUCCCAGCCCAGGAAGGAGCUGACGUCCUACGCCGCUGACGUCGCCACCGCCGGGUUGCAGGCGAAUAGUUAGCUGGAUUUAUUUAUAAAUAAUUUCCAAACAUAAAUCGCUGCGCAGCUUAAUCAAAUUUACGGCAGACAGUGAGUGGCAAAGCUACGGGGCCGCGGUGCUACAAAGACACAUAAUCUGUGCAAGGACAUAAGCGAGAUUUGCAAUUAAUAUUUCAACUGUCUCUACAGUAUUUUCAAUAUAACAAACCGCCAGGAUUUUCUUGUCAUCGCGGGAAAUGAAAAGGAAAUGCUCUAAAAAUACCCAUUUGUGUUAAUUGAGCUCGACAGGACCUGGUACAACAAUAACAAAUUGCAUAAUGCACAGUCGCAGGCAACAACAGGAACAGGAUGCACUGCAAAGCGGAUGGUGCGCCGGAAAUUGGCUUAUAGAUGCCGGGCCAUAGAUAUUUAGCCACGCUUCCCGUUCGGCCAAAUGGCAGAUUGAAGAUGCAAAUUCAGACGUGGAUUGCAUAUGUCCCAUUAAAGGAAGUGUUGCCUCGAAAUGUCUGCGAACUUGUGCUUCUAAGUACCUCUUUAAAUGGCUUUCGAUGUGGCAAGGUAUGCGGCUAAUAAUGGGUAGUAACCAAACUUGAAAAAAAUUUGGGGCAAAAAGUAAUUUGUAAUUUUGCAGGCCUUACCAACUGUUCUCUAAAAUCUAAUCUAAUAAUCAAAUUUUCUCAGUCAAAUAAAUUAAUUGCUCAGA